GAUGAACGCUGGCGGCGUGCCUAAUACAUGCAAGUCGAGCGAACGGACGAGAAGCUUGCUUCUCUGAUGUUAGCGGCGGACGGGUGAGUAACACGUGGAUAACCUACCUAUAAGACUGGGAUAACUUCGGGAAACCGGAGCUAAUACCGGAUAAUAUUUUGAACCGCAUGGUUCAAAAGUGAAAGACGGUCUUGCUGUCACUUAUAGAUGGAUCCGCGCUGCAUUAGCUAGUUGGUAAGGUAACGGCUUACCAAGGCAACGAUGCAUAGCCGACCUGAGAGGGUGAUCGGCCACACUGGAACUGAGACACGGUCCAGACUCCUACGGGAGGCAGCAGUAGGGAAUCUUCCGCAAUGGGCGAAAGCCUGACGGAGCAACGCCGCGUGAGUGAUGAAGGUCUUCGGAUCGUAAAACUCUGUUAUUAGGGAAGAACAUAUGUGUAAGUAACUGUGCACAUCUUGACGGUACCUAAUCAGAAAGCCACGGCUAACUACGUGCCAGCAGCCGCGGUAAUACGUAGGUGGCAAGCGUUAUCCGGAAUUAUUGGGCGUAAAGCGCGCGUAGGCGGUUUUUUAGUCUGAUGUGAAAGCCCACGGCUCAACCGUGGAGGGUCAUUGGAAACUGGAAAACUUGAGUGCAGAAGAGGAAAGUGGAAUUCCAUGUGUAGCGGUGAAAUGCGCAGAGAUAUGGAGGAACACCAGUGGCGAAGGCGACUUUCUGGUCUGUAACUGACGCUGAUGUGCGAAAGCGUGGGGAUCAAACAGGAUUAGAUACCCUGGUAGUCCACGCCGUAAACGAUGAGUGCUAAGUGUUAGGGGGUUUCCGCCCCUUAGUGCUGCAGCUAACGCAUUAAGCACUCCGCCUGGGGAGUACGACCGCAAGGUUGAAACUCAAAGGAAUUGACGGGGACCCGCACAAGCGGUGGAGCAUGUGGUUUAAUUCGAAGCAACGCGAAGAACCUUACCAAAUCUUGACAUCCUUUGACAACUCUAGAGAUAGAGCUUUCCCCUUCGGGGGACAAAGUGACAGGUGGUGCAUGGUCGUCGUCAGCUCGUGUCGUGAGAUGUUGGGUUAAGUCCCGCAACGAGCGCAACCCUUAAGCUUAGUUGCCAUCAUUAAGUUGGGCACUCUAAGUUGACUGCCGGUGACAAACCGGAGGAAGGUGGGGAUGACGUCAAAUCAUCAUGCCCCUUAUGAUUUGGGCUACACACGUGCUACAAUGGACAAUACAAAGGGCAGCGAAACCGCGAGGUCAAGCAAAUCCCAUAAAGUUGUUCUCAGUUCGGAUUGUAGUCUGCAACUCGACUACAUGAAGCUGGAAUCGCUAGUAAUCGUAGAUCAGCAUGCUACGGUGAAUACGUUCCCGGGUCU
rnacentral:rRNA from 1 species